UUGCUUUGGCAGCACAUACACUAAAAUCGGAAUGAUACAGAGAUUAGCAUGGCCCUUGCACAAGGAUGACACACAAAUUCGUGAAGUGUUCCAUAUUUUU
rnacentral:snRNA from 1 species